rnacentral:misc_RNA from 1 species
AAGUCGUAACAAGGUCUCCGUUGGUGAACCAGCGGAGGGAUCAUUACCGAGUUAUUACUCCAAACCCUUUGUGAACCUUACCUAUUACUGCUGUUGCCUCGGCGGACGGCUGGCAGGGCACCCCCCCGCGGGGUCGCCCUACCGCCCCCGCCGGCAGCACCAAACUCUUGAAUUUAUAGCGAAUCUACUUCUGAAUAACAAAAACAAACGAAUCAAAACUUUCAACAACGGAUCUCUUGGUUCUG